rnacentral:rRNA from 1 species
GCACGGGUGCGCAACGCGUAUACAAUCUGCCCCCUACUGCGGGAUAGCCCAGAGAAAUUUGGAUUAAGACCGCAUGGUACCGUAUUGCCGCAUGGCAUUUACGGUUAAAGGUUACGGUAGGGGAUGGGUAUGCGUCCCAUUAGCUAGAUGGCGGGGUAACGGCCCACCAUGGCGACGAUGGGUAGGGGCCCUGAGAGGGGGAUCCCCCACACUGGUACUGAGACACGGACCAGACUCCUACGGGAGGCAGCAGUGAGGAAUAUUGGACAAUGGGCGGGAGCCUGAUCCAGCCAUGCCGCGUGCGGGAAGAAGGCCCUAUGGGUCGUAAACCGCUUUUAUACGGGAAGAAACCACCCUACGUGUAGGGUACUGACGGUACCGUAAGAAUAAGGACCGGCUAACUCCGUGCCAGCAGCCGCGGUAAUACGGAGGGUCCGAGCGUUAUCCGGAAUCAUUGGGUUUAAAGGGUCCGUAGGCGGGCCGUUAAGUCAGGGGUGAAAGUCUGCGGCUCAACCGUAGAACUGCCCUUGAUACUGGCGGUCUUGAGUCAUACUGGAGUAGGCGGAAUAUGUAGUGUAGCGGUGAAAUGCAUAGAUAUUACAUAGAACACCGAUCGCGAAGGCAGCUUACUAAG